CUUUAACAGACUUCCGCCAAAUUUGAGCCCGCCAUCGACAACAUGAGCAGGAAAAGAGUGGCAAAGUGAUGAAAACGGAGAUCCUGAAGCUAAUACAGCCAGAAAAACGGAUAGUGACGAUUGAACUAAGGAAAAUUUAAAAUGCUGAAAUUAAAAGGAAGAAAAAAGAAAUUCAAGCCGAAAACAAGAAGAAAUAAAGAAGCAAUAAUAGACUCAAACCAGCAAUCUUUGCAAAUGCAAGAAUGUAGAACCCAGCAGUAAUUACGUGCCCGAGUCCUGCAGUUCGAAUGUUCCAGUACUCGUCGGGAACACUUCUGGACCUAGCAAGUAUGCUUAAGACUACUACAUCAAUCAGCAACACACCUGUACCAGUCAGCAACUUGAAAGAACCCUGCUAUACUCGUGUGUCUGUGCCAUAUAAUAACUCAGUUGUACUUAAUGGUCAAGAUGUGUUAACCUCUGUCAGCAACACCUCAGUACCUUGCAGUUAAAAUAAGCCUGUGCCAGUAAGCAACUCGAAUGAACCCUACUGUCAUACUCGUGUGCUUGUGCCAAAUAACAAAAUUUCGAAUGUAAUUCUUUGAGAUUUAUUUUUAAUCAACUGCUCUAAUAAUGAUGACUGUGCUAUUCAAAAUCUCAACACUCUUAGCCUAUGGUCUUUUCUCAAAGAUUCAGUGUUUGAUGAUUUGUGGAUUCAAAGGAGAGUAUAUAUAUACAUUAUUUGCUGUGGUUCGGAAUUACCAUAGUGCUUAACAGUAAUCUUAUUACAGUUUAUUUCUAGUCAUCAUGAUCUAUUGUUUUAAAAUAUUAAUUAAGCUCUGAUUUUAAUUGUAUAAUUUCAUUUUGAUUAUGUUUAUAACCUAAAUUCAAAUCUUUGUCAGAAAUUAAUCUGUUAUGUUAAUAAAUAUUUUGCUUUUUACAUAUCUAUACGCAUGGGGGGAAAAUGGAUGCGCAUCGAUGGGCUGAUAUAAUUUUUUAUCUUUCUAUUUCAAAUUGGUAUAAUUGUCAAUUUUGUGAAAUAUUACAUGGUAACUGUUGUAAGCUUCAUAUAAUGUCCAAAAAUUGUUACAGAUAUAGCACCCCCUUGUAAUUAACCUUUUACAAAUUUACUCUAUGGGACAUAAACUGACAAAUCAUUGGAAAAAAUUCAACUCUACUCCAUGAAAUGUAUUUGAAUUUUAAUAUCACAUGUAUAAUGUGUCUAUUUUUUAUCAUUUUAAAAAUUUGUUUGCAUCCUUAGGAUCAUUAUGAAUUUGUGUUAAUUAGUUAUUGAACUACAUAUUACAUAUAUUAUUAGAAAUAUUUAAAACUACUAUACAUCUGUACAAUCUCCUUUGUUAGUUAUGUGAUUAUUAUUGAAUGUACUUGUCAACUGAUGAAAAAUUUAAGCUGUUACACAGGCAUAAUUAUGUAUUGUUAAAUACAGUUCCAAUUUUCAAAUACCUGUCAGUUAUUGUGUUCAUUAUUUUUUCAAUCUUGUAUUCCGUUAUAGGAGUUACUAAAUAUGCAGGCCACAAGUAGA